ACCGAGGUGGUGAAAUUGGUAGACACGCUAUCUUGAGGAGAUAGUGCUUUACGGCGUAUGGGUUCAAGUCCCGUCCUCGGUA
rnacentral:tRNA from 1 species